AUAUAAUGGUGAUGUGGAUGGCUACUCCAUUUCUUCUAAGGGAUUCUUGCCCACAGUAGUAGAUAUAAUGGUGAUGUGAGUUAAAUUCACCCAUUCCUAUUUUAGUUUGCUAAUUCCUAAAAUGUCGACAUUCACUCUUGCCAUCUCCUGUUUGACUACUUCCAAUUUGCCUUGAUUCAUGCACUUAACAUUCCAGGUUCCUGUGUGUACAGGUGCAUGUCAAAGAAUUAAAUUAGAACACUUCCUAACACUAUACACAAAAACAAGUCAAAAUGGAUUAAAGACUGAAAUGUAAGGCCAAAUAUUAUAAAACUUUUAGAAGAAAACAUAAGUAGUACACUCUUUGACAUAAAUGGCAGCAAGAUCCUUUGUGACCCUCCUCUAACAGUAAUUAAAAUAAAAAAUAAAUUUGAAGCUAAUAAAAUGUAAAAGCAUUUUCAGAGCAAAGGAAACUAUAAACAAGUUGAAAAAACAGCCCUCAGAAAGGGAGAAAAAUAAUUGCAAAUGAAGAAACUGACAAAGGAUUAAUCUUAAAAAUAUACAAGCAGCUCAUGCAGCUCAAUAUAAAAAACACUAAAAAUCUAAUCAAAACUGAUCAGAAGACAUCAACAGACACUUCUCCAAAGAAGACAUACAGAUGGCCAACACAUGAAAAGAUGCUCAACAUUUAUCAUUAUUAGAGAAAUGUAAGUUAAAACUCCAAUGAGGUACCAUUUCACAGAAGUCAGAAUGGCCAUCAUCAAAAUAUCUACAAACAAUAAAUGCUAGAGAGGAUAUGGAGAAAAGGGAAGCUGCUUUCAUUGUUGGUGUAAAUUGAUACAAACACUAUGGAGAACAGUAUGGAGGUUUCUUACAAAACUAGCAAUAAAACUACCAUAUGACCCAGCAAUUCCAUUAGCCCCAGAAAGCUGUAAUUCUAAAAUACACAUGUACCCCAGUGUUAAUUGCAGCACUAUUUACAAUAGUCAGGACAUGGAAGCAACUUAGGUGUCCACUGACAGAUGACUGGAUAAAGAAGAUAUGAUACAUAUAUGCAAUGGAAUGUUACUAAGCCAUAAAAGGAACAAAACUGAGUCAUUCACAGUGAUGGGCAUGAACCUAGAGUCUGUCACAAAGAGUAAAUUAAGUCAGAAAGAUAAAAACAAAUAUAUUAUUUUAAUGCUUUUAGCUAGAAAAUGUUAUUUUUGAUCUAUUUUCUAUAUUACAAAAUGUAAUUUUUCUAGAAUCUAGAAAAAUCUUACAGAUGAAACUAUUUGCAGGGCAGGAAUAGAGAUGCAGACCUAGAGAAUGAACACGUGGACAAAGGCAGG
ensembl:lncRNA